UACGGGGGGGGCAAGCGUUGUUCGGAAUUACUGGGCGGAAAGGGCGCGUAGGCGGUUCGCUAAGUUGAAUGUGAAAACUCUGGGCUUAACCCAGAGCCUGCAUUCAAUACUGGCGGGCUAGAGUUCUGGAGGGGAUAGCGGAAUUCCUGGUGUAGCGGUGAAAUGCGUAGAUAUCAGGAGGAACACCGGUGGCGAAGGCGGCUAUCUGGACAGAGUCUGACGCUGAGGCGCGAAAGCUAGGGGAGCAAACAGG
rnacentral:rRNA from 1 species